GGCUUAAUGAGAACUAUUGGUGAUGUGUGGAUGGUUGGACUGGGUGAUCCUGUGGGUCUUUUCCAACCUUGGUGAUUCUGUGAUUCUAUGAUUCUAGGACUGGAUCCGAUUGUGGACAUCCUGCUCUUCCUGACUGGGCUUGAGCAGUGCAAUUGUGCUAUUUGACUUUCUUUGUACAAGUGUGGAUAAUAUGUGAUGAGAUGAAGGCCGUCUGCUAGCCACCAGAGCUCUUGUUGGUGCCAAGGUACUGAGAGGAGGUCCUGGGGCCCUUUGGACCCAAGAUGCUUAUUUCUAGAGCCAUGUCUUUGUAGCGGGUGAAGGGGAAAGAGCAUUGGGCCAAGAAAGUAAGAGGAGGACUCUGAGGCUGGCAUGCAUGAGAUUUUUAUUGAGGAAAAUUCAAGAAAAGGAAGGAUCCGCUUGGAGAUGGCGAGGUAUAAAGGGCACAACUUAAGGUGCAAAGAAAGGAGAAAUCUGCAGUGCUGAUGUUUCCAGACAGCGUGGUGUGACGCUGUUCCCUGCUUGCUUGAGAAGAGGAGCCAUGGCUGGUGAGCCCAUGUGCCAUCAGUGACAGAGAGAUGAGAGCUCAGUGCAUGAGGCGCCUUGCAGGGUGCAGGAGGUUGCUGUGAGGGUGUGGGCGCAGGCCCUUAGCAGGGGUAGCGGGCUCUCCAGCCGUUGAAGCAGCCCAGGCCUCCGAAGCCGAA